rnacentral:rRNA from 1 species
UACGUAGGGCGCAAGCGUUGUCCGGAAUUAUUGGGCGUAAAGAGCUCGUAGGCGGCUUGUCACGUCGGAUGUGAAAGCCCGGGGCUUAACCCCGGGUCUGCAUUCGAUACGGGCUAGCUAGAGUGUGGUAGGGGAGAUCGGAAUUCCUGGUGUAGCGGUGAAAUGCGCAGAUAUCGGGAGGAACACCAGUGGCGAAGGCGGCUCUCUGGACCUCUGCUGACGCUGAGGCGCGAAAGCGUGGGGAGCGAUCCGG